GAAAGCAUUUGCCAAGGACGUUUUCAUUAAUCAAGAACGAAAGUUAGGGGAUCGAAGAUGAUCAGAUACCGUCGUAGUCUUAACCAUAAACUAUGCCGACUAGGGAUCGGGUGUUGUCCUUUUUUUGGCGCACUCGGCACCUUACGAGAAAUCAAAGUUUUUGGGUUCUGGGGGGAGUAUGGUCGCAAGGCUGAAACUUAAAGGAAUUGACGGAAGGGCACCACCAGGAGUGGAGCCUGCGGCUUAAUUUGACUCAACACGGGGAAACUCACCAGGUCCAGACACAAUAAGGAUUGACAGAUUGAGAGCUCUUUCUUGAUUUUGUGGGUGGUGGUGCAUGGCCGUUCUUACUUGGUGGAGUGAUUUGUCUGCUUAAUUGCGAUAACGAACGAGACCUUAACCUACUAAAUAGUGCUGCUAGCUUUUGCUGGUAUAGUCACUUCUUAGAGGGACUACCGAUUUCAAGUCGGUGGAAGUUUGAGGCAAUAACAGGUCUGUGAUGCCCUUAGACGUUCUGGGCCGCACGCGCGCUACACUGACGGAGCCAGCCAGUAUUAACCUUGGCCGAGAGGUCUGGGAAAUCUUGUGAAACUCCGUCGUGCUGGGGAUAGAGCAUUGUAAUUAUUGCUCUUCAACGAGGAAUUCCUAG
rnacentral:rRNA from 1 species